GCACAGUCUUCCAGAGAAUCAAGACACAGCCCCCUUUCUUGGUUUUGCCCUAGUCCAUUUGCAGUGCAGUUGGUGAGGCCUGUUCACUGCCCAGGAACUCGUGAGGCUUCGGGGAGGAGCGUGCUCUGCUCUGCUUAGUUAGCCCCAGCAUGCUGUUCACAUCACAGAGGAAAAGUCCGAGGGCAGCGAAACACAGCGAGGGCCCUGCUCCUCAGAGACUGAGAGCCCGCUUGCCUGCCCCUUCGAUUAGGUGGUAGCCCUGGUUUUAUUUGCAAUUCAGGACCCAUUUUUCUGCAUGUCAGGCUUGCUCAGGUCUCAAGAGCCAGUUAUCUCAACCCUGUGGCCCAAGGGACUGUUUAGGGCACUCACAUGCAGGAUCUUUAGCACUUCAGGACAAGUGCCUCAGAGGCUGGCUCCUGUCUACUUUGGGAGGCUCAGCAGACACCUUGGGAGGCCACAGGGGCCCAUGCUGGCCUGAGGGGCCUGGAGCUGAGAACCAUGGUGGGCAGGGUCAGGAUCGGGAGGCCCCAGACUGGGAGAUAGGACAUCGAGUGUCAAGCCCAGUCCUUGCCACCCCUGCUGGACAGUACUCCUCUGGGAGGCAGGCGGCAUGGCCUGUUGGGGUGGUUGUAGAGGUGCAAGCCUCCAGGCCCUCUGAUGAGCCCCUGCUUUGAACAGUGAAGAAGGGGCUCAGGUCGUUUGGGUUCAUAGGUGGGACAUGGCAGCCUGAGGUCAUCUGGGAAACCAGGGAGAGCAGGGCCCUGAGUCUACACAUGACACACACAGAGCCCACUGCAGGCUCACUGGGUGGGAACUGUGGACAUGGCUUCCAGCAAGUGAACCUCUAGUUUCUCUCCCUCGACACCUGUUGCCCAGGAGUGGUCUGCAGACCUGAAUCGAACCCUCACCCGGAGAGAGAAGAAGAAGGCCACUGACGGCGUCACCCUGACGGGCAUCAACCAAACAGGCGACCAGUCUCUGCCGAAUAAGCCCAGCAGCACCCUUAAUGUCCCGAGCAACCCCGCCCAGUCUGCGCAGUCACAGUCCAGCUACAACCCCUUCGAGGAUGAGGACGACACGGGCAGCACCGUCAGUGAGAAGGAGGACACUAAGGCCAAAAAUGUGAGCAGCUACGAGAAGACCCAGAGCUAUCCCACCGACUGGUCAGACGAUGAGUCGAACAACCCCUUCUCCUCCACGGAUGCCAACGGGGACUCGAAUCCAUUCGACGAGGACACCACCUCGGGGACGGAAGUGCGAGUCCGGGCCCUGUAUGACUACGAGGGGCAGGAGCAUGAUGAGCUGAGCUUCAAGGC